rnacentral:lncRNA from 10 species
GAGCCAGAUCAAAACCCUGUCCUGGGGAGACAAUUGGGUAUGUCCAGGUGCAGUUGUUCAAUGUGAUUUAGUCCCUACCAGGAGGUCUGGUUGCCUGGGUUCAGAACAGCAGAGGAAAAAUUAGACAAAAGACACAUUCAGAAGUCAAGGUGCUCUGACAGUUCAGCAGACAUAUGACCUAACUUCAACCAGCAGACAGGAUCUGACCUAGGAAAGAUGAAGACAAAAACCAGAUCUCAAACAGAUGUAUUGUAGUUCAAGGUAGGGCAAUCAGACCUGUAGGAAGACUGAGCAGGCCACUGAAUUGGGCCCCCGAAAGAGAAGCCCAGACAUGAGGACUGGACCCACCCAGGAACUGGGAGUAAAGCAAUUUGGGGACAGUUGGGUCCUAGGCCUCGCCUCUAGGAAACCUGGAUUGCCCAGUCGGUGCUGAAGGUGUCUCAGAUCUGCUUGGAUCUAUAAUAUUGGACCUGGAUUUCAGGGGAAGUGUGUAUCUGGAAAUAAAAAUCAGAAAAUUUGGAGAAUAAAAGAACAAGGAAAAUUAAGGAAGGAUUUUUUUCAACCUUAAAAGCCACCUUGAGAAAUGAGAGAAGAGAGGAUUGGCUACUCGGUAUUGUGCUUUCUGCUGUCUACCUAGAAGACUUGAGGAAGAAAUAGAGGUUUUUCUCCCUAGUCCUCACCUCCAGCUCACUCCACCAAGUUAUUAGGAGUCUCUGAAAGAAACACGGAACACCCAGAGCAGAAAGCCAAUUUCUAAUUGGGCCAUCAGAUAGGGAAGAAAUGACAACUUCAACAAGAUUUCUUGUGAUCCUUGAGAGGUUUUCUAUGCAGGUACAGUCACAUUUAUGUCUUUUAAUAAUAGAGUUCAUCCAUCAUACAAGAUUGAUGAUCCCUGCAGAAGUUAAAAGUCUAGGAAUAAGAAAUUUGGGAAUGUGUUUUGCCACUUCAAUUGCCUCUACUGAUCAAGAAAGCAAAGACCCCCUAAACUUCAGGGCAAAAAGUGAAGAAUAAAUUUGAUUUGUGUUAGUGCCAAUAACUUUAAAGAAGUCUUUCCUUUGUCUUACGGCUUCCAGAAUUCCUGAUGAGGAGUCUGCUAUCAAUCUUAUCUUGUGGCUUUGAAGGUGUGAGGAGGAAGAAGGGAUAUCACCGGCCUCAAGGGUAACCAUGUCACA